UAUGUACUCCCUCCGUCCCAAAAUUCUUGUCUUAGAUUUGUCUAAAUACGGAUGUAUCAAGUCACGUUUUAGUAUUAGAUACAUUCGUAUCUAGACAAAUCUAAGAGAAGAAUUUUGGGACGGAGGGAGUAUACA
rnacentral:pre_miRNA from 1 species